rnacentral:ncRNA from 2 species
CCUUUGCCCGCGAAUUCAGGUGCCCAAUGCCCGCCUCAGCGCUGGCCCGACGGCUUAAUAGGGAACACCGGACGCCCAUUUUUCGGGUUGAAACCGGGACUGUCCCCGCAACUGUACUGCUCGCGUAACGAGCCGGUUCUUGCUACAUCGCCACUGAUCGACCCGAUCGGGAAGGCGCGAACCGGUGAGCAAAGUCAGGAGACCUGCCUGCAAUUCGCCGCUCUG